rnacentral:ncRNA from 1 species
AUGAGGCGCGGAUAUCAUAAGUAAGCUCCGGAAAUUUCGAUACAGCGGAAGGGGCCAAAAGGGGUAUCUGCCGAAGCAUCUGCCGGGCUGUGUGGCGGCGGGUGCUGGGGCGUACUGAAAUACGGUGCGGACUGUCACAUAGUGUGGAGUGCUUUG